AAAUUUUAUUAACUCAUCCACCACUUUUAUAAUGAAGGGAACCUCGUUUUUAUCUAAAACAUUUCUAAUAAAACCCUCUUAGAUUUAACUAACUCCCAUAAUUUAACCUUAUCUAUUUACCUUCCUAAACUAACCUAACUGAUACAAAAUAAACACAAUAUAAACUCUUACACACCCUAAUUAUCCCUGUGCAUAUGUGCAUAUCUGAAGAGACAAAAGACUAAUAAAACAUUAAAAUAACUUUAAUAUUAUUUACAUCAGAUUCCCUUGGCCGUUUUUCUAAAAACCACAUUGGUUUCAAUAGAAAAUUAAAUUUCAAAAUCGUUGUUCCAUCAAUAUGCCACCUGUUGUGAUAUCCUACACAUGGGGUGGAGGUCGUAGUAAUUAAUAAAUAGUGAUGUUUAUCUAAGAUCUCAGCUUUAAACAAUCAAAAUAAGGUGCACCUUCAAACUUUGUCAGAAGAUGCAAGUUUUGUAUUGAAAAUUUCGAAGAUGAUAUGAAAAUCUAUUUUAUCCCUACCUAUGAAAUUUAAAACUCAAAAAAUGAUAUAGAGCAAGCAUAAAUACAUGAAAAUCUUGAAAAUAGGCACUCGGGAUAACAUGUUAAAAGAUGCACUAUUUUUAGGACUUGAAAUCCUUUAUUUUUUCAAAUUUAUAUAUCUCGGUGUUGAGACGAUCAAUUAGAGUAGUUUUCAGUGUUGAGACAACAUUUUUCAAUAGGUUUUUUAUGCUCUCCUUACUUAGGCAGUAUAAGCUUGAUACCUUAUAUAAAAUUUCUCCAUUCACAAAUAAUAUGAUAAUGAACUUGGUAACAUGCUAUUAAAGUUACUUAUAAAAGGAGAAAGUUUAUAUAAGAUUGCAACAUUAUUUGUAGAAAUAAGGUUGUAGUAAUUUAUAUUGUUCAUUUUAUUUAGAUGGUGUAAAUUGGAUACUAUAUUAAAAGAUGUGCCAUGUAUUAAAGUUGUCUUAAAAGAUGUGUCAAAUCUAUAACCGUCUAAGUACAAUAGAUGGUGUAGAGUAUUGCAACUUUAUUUUUACAAAUAAGGUUACAACCUUAUACAAACCGCACCUUUUAUAAAAGGAAAAAGCUUACAUAAGGAUGCAACCUUAUAAUGUAGAACUACGGAUGUACCUAAAAAAUCCAUUGAAAAAGGUAAUUUUAAUCUUGAAAAACCCUUUGAUUGAACAUCUCAACAUCGAUAUGUAUGACCAUAAAAAAUAAAAAGAUUUUAAGUAUCAGAAAUAAUGCAUUUUAUAACAAAUUAUCUACACCAUCCAUUUUCAAGAUUUCUAUAUAUUUAUAGAUCUACUUGAUUUUAACCAAUUUUGAAAUUUAAAAAUUUAUAAUUAGAUACAAAAAUUGAUUUUNNNNNNNNNNNNNNNNNNNNGGUUAGAUUCGGACUAUGAUUUGCGAGGGGCCCAAUCCAGAGUCCCCUAUGUCGACUCGACUUUGAUUGAGAUAGACAGAUUAUAAAAAAUGGAAAGUCAAAUGAUUUUUUUCGCCUAGAUUUCUAUCCAAUGAAUCUUUUAAAUAUUGGUACAAUCACAAAGAUGGUUAUAUUACAAUGGUUUGUAUAUAAUUAACAACCCCUUCAAAAUAUAAUGGUUAAUGUUAGAAUGUGUUGUGAUAAAUGUAUUUAUUAAAAAAUAUUAUUUUUUGUUUGAAAAUUUAUGUUAAUAGUUAACUAAAUCAUCAAAUAAGAAAAAUUUUGAGAUUUUUAUAAAAGUACAAUAAUAUUUUGAAAGUUAGUAUUUCGAAACUUUAUUUGUAGAGUACCCAUUUAUAGAGAUGACAAAAGUAUCCCAUGUCUUUUAGUGAUAUUUACAAAAACAUCAUUACUCGAUGAACAAGAUAUCACAAAAAGUUAUAAGCAACUUUUUUAAAAAAAUAAACCACAUAGUUAGUAAAUCCACUAUUCACAACUCAUUCUAUUAUUAACCUUUGUAAUUUGAAGAGUUGUGAAUU
rnacentral:lncRNA from 1 species